rnacentral:rRNA from 1 species
GACAGAGGGGGCAAGCGUUGCUCGGAAUCACUGGGCGUAAAGGGCGCGUAGGCGGGAUGGCAAGUCGGUCGUGAAAUCCCUCGGCUUAACCGAGGAACUGCCGUCCAAACUGCUUUGCUUGAGACCGGGAGAGGUGAGUGGAAUUCCCAGUGUAGCGGUGAAAUGCGUAGAUAUUGGGAGGAACACCGGUGGCGAAGGCGGUUCUCUGGGCCUGACCUGACGCUGAGGAGCGAAAGCGUGGGGAGCGAACAGG